rnacentral:rRNA from 1 species
UUACGGGAGGCAGCAGGAAGGAAUUUUGGACAAUGGGGGAAACCCUGAUCCAGCAACGCCGCGUGGGCGAUGAAGGUCUUCGGAUCGUAAAGCCCUUUUCUGUGGGAAGAGGCAGGACGGUACCACAGGAAUAAGUCUCGGCUAACUACGUGCCAGCAGCCGCGGUAAAACGUAGGAGGCAAGCGUUAUCCGGAUUUACUGGGCGUAAAGCGCAUGCAGGCGGCCGUGCAAGUUGGGCGUGAAAUCUCUCGGCUUAACCGGGAGGGGUCGUCCAAUACUGCGGGGCUUGGGUGCAGGAGAGGGAAGCGGAAUUUCCAGUGUAGCGGUAAUAUGCGCAGAUAUUGGAAAGAACACCAGUGGCGAAGGCGGCUUUCUGGCCUGUAACCGACGCUAAGAUGCGAAAGCUAGGGGAGCGAACGGGAUUAGAUACCCCGGUAGC